CUUGGUCACUUAGAGGAAGUAAAAGUCGUAACAAGGUUUCCGUAGGUGAACCUGCGGAAGGAUCAUUCACAAUAAGUGUUUUUAUGGCACUUUAAAAUCCAUAUCCACCUUGUGUGCAACGUUUUGAGGUCUUUUUAUCAUUUCGCCGGUUGCAGAAUGUUUGUUCUACAGCCGCGGAAGGCAAGAUAAGGAGGCUUUUUAUAUCUUAACUCUUGAUCUUUAACAAAUUUGUCUGAAAAUCUAUUGCGAAUUAACUUUCAAAAUAAAUACAACUUUCAACAACGGAUCUCUUGGCUCUCGCAUCGAUGAAGAACGCAGCGAAAUGCGAUACGUAAUGUGAAUUGCAGAAUUCAGUGAAUCAUCGAAUCUUUGAACGCACAUUGCGCUCUCUGGUAUUCCGGAGAGCAUGCUUGUUUGAGUAUCAGUAAAACACCUCAAGUCCGCUCUUCUUUGAAGACGGAUUUGGACUUGAGCGAUCCCAACAGGAGGGCUUUCCUUCUGGCGGGUUGCUUGAAAUGCAGGUGCAGCUGGACUUUCUUCUGGGCUAUAAGCAUAUUUAUUUAGUCCCGUUAAACGGAUUAUUACUUUUUGCUGCAGCCAACGUAAAGGUUGAUUGUCCUCUUGCUGACUGAUGCAGGAAUUUUCGGGGGAUCGGCAACGAUUUCCCGUUAAACUCGAUCUCAAAUCAAGUAAGACUACCCGCUGAACUUAAGCAUAUCAAUAAGCGGAGGAAAAGAAACUAACAAGGAUUCCCCUAGUAACGGCGAGUGAAGCGGGAUGAGCUCAAAUUUAAAAUCUGGCUGGUUUUCUAGUCCGAAUUGUAGUUUAAAGAAGCGUUUUCGGUGGCAGCCCGGGUAUAAAUCCUUUGGAACAGGGUAUCAUAGAGGGUGAGAAUCCCGUCUUUGACCUGGUGCAUGCUACUAUGUGAUACGUUUUCAAAGAGUCGAGUUGUUUGGGAAUGCAGCUCAAAAUGGGUGGUAAAUUUCAUCUAAGGCUAAAUAUUGGCGAGAGACCGAUAGCGAACAAGUACCGUGAGGGAAAGAUGAAAAGAACUUUGAAAAGAGAGUUAAACAGUGCGUGAAAUUGUUGAAAGGGAAACGUUCGACACCAGUCAUGCGGAUGAAAAAUCAGUCAAUGGUGGUGAGGAGUGGUAGGGGUUCAGACCGCAAGGCUGGCUUUUGCUUCAUCUUUGUUGCCAGUGAUGCACUUUUUCAUUUGCAGGUCAACAUCAGUUUCCCCUGCUGGACAAAACUCCGAGAGAAGGUAGCAGCUUAGGCUGUGUUAUAGCUCUGGAGCGAUACAGUGGGGGGGACUGAGGCUUUCGCAGUGUGUGCUCUCGGGCAAGGCUGACUGGGUGCUAUGGGAUCGUUCAGCGUACAAUGCUUGCAUUUUGCGUCGUGUCUUUUCUAUACUCGCUCAGCUCAGCUCUUCCACACUUAGGAUGUUGACUUAAUGGUUUUAAACGACCCGUCUUGAAACACGGACC
rnacentral:rRNA from 1 species